rnacentral:rRNA from 1 species
AUGCUUAGGAGGAUGUUCCAAGGUGGUUCUUCAAGGAAGCAAGGUCCCAGACUUGCAAUGCGUGAUGGUGACGAGGAACCACCAAGAGACGCUCUCAUGAGGCCCUGUGAAUGGCCUUCAGAAAAUUUUAUGAAUCAAGUGGGAAUUAAAGAAGAAUUUUACGCAUAUGUGCGUAAUGCCGGUCUUGAGGACUUUGAAGCUGAUAAAUGCCCCCAGUAUCGUUAUCUCACAAGUUCAUUUGUGGGUUUGAUUUUCAGGCGAGAGGAAGAUAUAUUAUUACCAAAGAGGAGGCAGAUGAGUACGAGAGGGGAGUGGAAGCAGCCCGACGCCGUGCUGCUGCUCAGCAGGCGGUAG